UCAUUCCAAGGCCUUUCUUCUCAUAUUAUAUAUACUACACUGUUGGCCUCUGCCAACCAAUGGAUUCUUUUUGGUAAAUAAAAGGCUCAGACCACAUCCUUAUUCUACAACGAUAAAACGGAGGGUAGUGAAAAAUAUAGAAUUUCAGCUCCUCGCCGGUUUGCAUCUUGGCCAUGUGACUCUCUGCAAAUCUGCACCAAGCUAAUCUCUCAAGUGUUCUUCAAUAAUUUGAAGAUGGUACGAAUCAGUGCUGAGCCACUUUCAUUAGCAUUAACACCAUUAAGGAUGUUAACAACUUCCUCAUUAUCACAUUCCUAUACCCCAGGUUCCAAGCAAGCUGUUGGCC
rnacentral:lncRNA from 1 species